UACGUAGGGGGCGAGCGUUGUCCGGAGUUACUGGGCGUAAAGCGCUUGUAGGCGGUCCACCAAGUUUGGGGUGACAGUUGCCGACUUAAUCGGCAAAGUGCCUCAAAGACUGGCGGACUUGAGGGCCACAGAGGGACAUGGAACUCCAGGUGUAGUGGUGAAAUGCGUAGAUAUCGGGAGGAACACCUGUGGCGAAAGCGGCUCACUGGACCACAACUGACGCUGAGGCGCGAAAGCUAGGGGAGCAAACAGG
rnacentral:rRNA from 1 species